rnacentral:siRNA from 1 species
AGCCCUACUAUAUUAGAGACCGAC